rnacentral:misc_RNA from 1 species
GAUGAAGAACGUAGUGAAAUGCGAUACGUAAUGUGAAUUGCAGAAUUCAGUGAAUCAUCGAAUCUUUGAACGCACAUUGCGCCCCCUGGUAUUCCGGGGGGCAUGCCUGUCCGAGCGUCAUUACAACCCUCAAGCUCAGCUUGGUGUUGGGCCCCGCCGCCCCGGCGGGCCCUAAAGUCAGUGGCGGUGCCGUCCGGCUCCGAGCGUAGUAAUUCUUCUCGCUCUGGAGGUCCGGUCGUGUGCUCGCCAGCAACCCCCAAUUUUUUUCAGGUUGACCUCGGAUCAGGUAGGGAUACCCGCUGAACUUAAGCAUAUCAAUAAGCGGAGGA